GAUGAACGCUGGCGGCGUGCCUAAUACAUGCAAGUCGAGCGAACGGACGAGAAGCUUGCUUUUCUGAUGUUAGCGGCGGACGGGUGAGUAACACGUGGAUAACCUACCUAUAAGACUGGGAUAACUUCGGGAAACCGGAGCUAAUACCGGAUAAUAUUUUGAACCGCAUGGUUCAAAAGUGAAAGACGGUCUUGCUGUCACUUAUAGAUGGAUCCGCGCUGCAUUAGCUAGUUGGUAAGGUAACGGCUUACCAAGGCAACGAUGCAUAGCCGACCUGAGAGGGGGAUCGGCCACACUGGAACUGAGACACGGGCCAGACUCCUACGGGAGGCAGCAGUAGGGAAUCUUCCGCAAUGGGCGAAAGCCUGACGGAGCAACGCCGCGUGAGUGAUGAAGGUCUUCGGAGCGUAAAACUCUGUUAUUAGGGAAGAACAUAUGUGUAAGUAACUGUGCACAUCGUGACGGUACCUAAUCAGAAAGCCACGGCUAACUACGUG
rnacentral:rRNA from 1 species